UUCCUUCCUUCCUUUAAUCAAGAUUUACCGAGCACUGGGAAAGAGGACAGCAAGAGAAGGCACAACCUGUGACAUGCAACAUCUGAUUCUGAAUGACUGAAGGAUUCACCGAAGUGUGAGGAAGGCAGAGAACAGAGAAACACAGAGUGCUAGCUCCGUGCUGUGGAGUUAUGCAAGUGAAUGAGGCUGAUCAACUUUCCCAUCAUCAACUCACCCAGAAAGCAGAACAUUCACU
rnacentral:lncRNA from 1 species